rnacentral:lncRNA from 1 species
UAAUAAGCCUGAUUCUUGUUGCAUUUUGGAUAAAGAGAAGGGCCUUGCUGAGGUCAUUUGCAUUUGCUAUGGCCUCCACUCUUGCUCCUCCGGAUGACCUCCACAUUGCUGGCUUCUUGUUGGAUAUAAAGAAGAUGACAAUUAGCGUGUGGGGAGUCCCCAAGACAUUUUGAUGUUAAACGUGGGUCCUUCUUCUUGACAAGGUGGGAAUAUGCUGCUCUAGCAAGAUUGCAAUGAUGAAUCCCAGGGAUACACACCUACCUACCGAGAGACCUCCAAACAGAGACAUCAACACAGAAACCUCCGCAGAGAUAACCAGAUCUCCAUAUGCAAACCCAUGUAAAAAGAAACCUAGAGAAACAGAUGCCCAGAUGAAGAGGGGUUUCCAGACAGAUUCUUGGCUGACGUUUCUGUCAGUGGUGUGAAAGGACAUUUACCCAGAUUCUAUAGAUAUUUUGGUUAUGCACUCAACAAACCUACAAUGAAACUACCAGAAUACAAAAGCAAUUGUGAACUCCAGAGAGUGCUAGAAAACAUUAUGGAAGAGGGUAUAGUUUAUGUUAAUUAUAGAGGACUAAAGAGAUGUAGAAUAGGAGAGCUGAAAAAGCCUCCACUUCCAGUGGCUCUUAGAGUGUAAUUAGUCCAAGGGACAGCAAGCUGCCUUCUAGCAGAAUCGUUGUGAUCCCAAAGCCCACAUGACUGGGGCCUCUCUCUGGUCCUUUAUACAGUAAUUAAUAUUUAAAAGAUCUCGCUAAAGCCCUGUCAAGUCCUGAAGCAAGAUUUUGAAAAAUAAAAAAACUCAUAAAACACAAAAUAGAACAAAACAAUGAGCUCUGAGUUUGCUUUGUUGAAAGCAAUGGGUUGAAUUGUGUCUCCCCAUAAUAUGUAUUUUGAAGUCCUAACCUCUAGUACCUUAGGGUGUGACCUUAUUUGGAGAUGCAGACAUUACAGAAGUAAUCAAGUUAAAGUGAGGUCAUUGGGAUGGGCCCUAAUCUGAUACAACUGGUAAUUUGGACACAGACACAUUCAGGCAGAACACCAUGUGAACAUAAAGAUGGUCAGGUACAAGCCAAAGGGGAGAGGCCUGGAACAGAUCCUUCCUUCACAGGCCUCAGAAGGAACCAACCCUGCCAACAUCUUGAUCUUGGACUUCUGGCCUCCAGACCUGUGAGACAACAAAUUUGUGAUCUUUUGUUAUGACAAUCCUAGCAAAAUACACUGUGACACCCAGUUUCUAAUCUGAUGACAAACGGAGGCAUCUACAAUCUCUGAGGGUGUGUGCAUUUGGGCACUCAUUUCACCACUGACUUCAUUUAUGUCCUAUUCUUUGUUUUCCAUUUGUUUCAUUUUUCUAAUUUUAUCUUCCAUUUUUAAAAAAGUUUACUGUACUAGACGUAACUUUUUAAGCUGCCUGAAAUUCUUCUUAGGUUUACAAAUGAUAUAAACUGGUAAAUAAAGAUGAUCAGACCUUAAGCACAUAUAGCACACAUGGCUGGGAUGAAACAACUAAGUAGCAAAAUAUUAAUUUAUAAAACAAAUUAAACAGCAAAAAAAGAAAAUAGUAAAAUCCAACUCUCCUGGACCAUUGGAGGAGGAACUGCAAGGGAUGAUGAAGAUUUCAUAGAGCAAAUGAUUUCUACACUCUGGGAAAGAAUUCUUCAGGCAGUACACCACUUUAAAAUGGUGCUUGACUCACCAAAACAUCAGAGCCGUCUUCAACUUUUCACAACGCAGAGCAGAGAAAGAGGAAGAUCACUUGUAGAUGGAGUGUGGCAGGAAUUUUGUGAAGUGUAUAAAGAAGUUAGCAAGUGUAUAAAGAAGAUAGCCAUUUACUAAGCAUCUGCUAUGUAGCAGGCACUCUGCUAGACAUUUGUUAUGGAAUGAAUCAUUUAAUCCUUGUAAUAAACUUGCAAGGAUAUAUUUUAGCCCACCCCCUACCUAAAACCAAUAAAUAUGUGGCUCAGAAAAGUAAAUUAACUGGUCUAAGAGCAAGUAAUUAGUAAAAAGUUGAGCUGGGAUUUGAUAUAAAGAAAAAUCUGAUCUAAACUUGAUAAUAUUUCUGCUUCCCCAAAUUGCCUCCUUAAAGUUUACACAUUGUUUGGUCUCUUCAAUACACAUCAAAAUUAUCAAUACCUAUAGAAAUGUCAAUGAAAAGUCUUCCUUUAAAUUAGAAUAUUUAGAAACUUUAGGCCCAGAGACUAAAAAGUAUGUGAAAUUAGUAUAAAAGUAUGUAAAAUGUUUGUAAAGAAAUGAUGAUAACUUCGUAGACCAAUGUGGCAUGUAAAACAUGUGGGCCACAGAGGGAGAUUAAGAAAAAAAUAUAUGCAAUCAUAAUAAUAAAAGUGGAGUUACUCCAGACUAUGCUUUUUGCCAAUUCUUUGGUGAGAAGGGAUUGGUAGUUAAUUAUAGAACCACUUUCUAUAUUAAUUCUAGAUAUUGUAUUCUAAUCCUUAGAAAGUAGGCUGUGGAAGAACUAAUAAUUGCCCUCAAGGACCCAUUCUCUUCUUCUCAUAAGAGAAUCUAUGGUUGCCCAACUAAAGCUUCUAUUUCGCAGCACUCAUUGCAGAUAGUUAUAGCUAUGGACUCAGUUCUGGCCAGUGGACUCUGAAUAAAGGUACUAUGUACACUGUUGGCUGUGCUCUUAAAGCUAAGGGAUGUGCCAUCUCAUCCCCUGUGCUCUCUUUGUUGGCUGGGAAGCUGGCAGGAUGAUAGGAGUUAAGCCAGCCAUUAUGGACUUUCAGAUGGAAACCAGCUGUUGAGGAUGAGAGAGCGACAAAAAGAAGACCGUCAAGAUUGUGGGGCUAAUUUACCAGCCUGAAUUGCCAACCUGUGUUUUUGUAUUACAGGCAAAUAAAGUAUGUGUUUUUAAAGUCGC